rnacentral:rRNA from 1 species
UACGUAGGGGGCAAGCGGUGUCCGGAAUUAUUGGGCGUAAAGCGCGCGCAGGCGGCUAGUUAAGUCAGAUGUGAAAGGCUGCGGCUCAACCGCAGAGCUGCAUCUGAAACUGAUUAGCUUGAGUGCAGGAGAGGAUAGUGGAAUUCCCGGUGUAGCGGUGGAAUGCGUAGAGAUCGGGAGGAACACCAGUGGCGAAGGCGACUGUCUGGACUGUAACUGACGCUGAGGCGCGAAAGCGUGUGGAGCAAAUAGG